AUUAUUGUCACUCGAGAAUGUUAUUUUAUUAUAUCGUUUUAAAUUCACAUUUUCUCUAGAUUAUUUAUUGUAUAAAUAAAAAUCAUGUCGAGAGAAAAUUCUUCAUUUUUAUCAGAUUGUGAAGAAAAUUAUAUAGAAUGGAUCGACUAUUUAUUGAAAUUAAAAACAAAAGAGUCAAAACCAAAAUCCAUACGUUCGACACGUUCGAGUCUAGUGUGUUGUGAAACAAUUCAAUCAAUUCAACUUGACGAAGCAAUUUCUACAUUUUUAAAUUGUACCAAGAGCAAUAUGAAUGUUUCUAUAAAUGAUAUGGAUGCUUUUAUAAUUGAAACCAUGUAUAUUAAUUUACAAGAUUUAAAACGAAUAAAUAUCACAUUAAAUGAAUUAUUCGACGGAAUUAUUAAUCGAGAAAUUAAUUUGCAAAUUAUUAAAUAUAAAUGCUCGUCACUUUACAAUAAAAUGGACAUUUUUCAAAUCUACAAUAUCGAUGAAAAUUUAAUAAAUAUUAACGAAAAUCACAAUUUUUUAAAACAACAAAAACAAUUUGGCAAAUAUUUGCAAAUACUAUUACAACAAACCACAUCAUCAUCAUCAUUGUUAAAUAAAUACAAUGAGCAAUUGAAAGAAAAGAAAUUAAAUAAUAUUUGGCCAAUUUUAAAAUCAUGUAAUGAUAUCAAUCACGUUAUUGCGUGUCGUCAGGAAUUUUUUGAAAUUUAUGAAAAUUUAUUACUUGAUAUUUUUAAUCGAAAUGAUGCUGAAUUUCAAACAAUUAUGCCUAUUUAUCUACAUAAGAAUUCCUAUGAUGAAAUAGGAUUAUUGACAAAAAUAACUGGUGAUUCUGGUUCAAUGAUACAUCCAAAAUAUCUUUCCUCACAAACUUUAGUAAUGGCCGGUAUCAAUUAUUCUCAAUUUAUUAUUGGUAAUGAAGAAAAAAUAGAUCCCAUUCAAAUUGUAACAAAUUUUAAUGCACUUAUUAAUAUUCUUUAUGGUGGUGCACCACGUCUUUGGCUAAUUAUUAAACGUGCACACGUUCAACGAUUAACAAAUCUUUUUGGUGAAAUAUUCAAAAAUAAUCGCAAUUUUCACGAUGAUACAAUUUCAAUAAAUUGUUCAAUGCCAUUGAGACAUGGUCGUUUUAUUAUUUUACCAUCGUGGUUAAAAGACAAUGGUAUUAAGCAUGAUAUUUUUAUUCAACAACCAGGUACAUGUGUUUUAUUACGUGAAAAUGUUUAUUUUCAAACAAUAGAUCUGGGCGUUAAUUUAUCAGAGUCAAUUAAUUAUUCUGGUAUAUUUGAUCAAAUACUUGAAUCAUUUAAAAUUAAUUGUUGCUCUACAAAUGAUAGUGUAAUUGCUCCAGUGGAUGUUGAAAAAAUGUUUUCAAAUUUUCGUAUUGUAAAAUCGUGUACACGUCAAUUAAAAUGCUCCAUAUGUUCUAGUGGGAAAAAUUUUAAUCCAGCUGAAUUGCGAUAUCAUUUUGUUGCUCAUCAUUUGUCACAAGAAAAAAUUUAUCAAUGUAAUGAUAAAUGUAAAUUUGAAACAACUAGUUUAAUUGAAUUUCGUAAACAUUUACGAGCAAAACAUAGAGAAAAACAAUUAUGCUAUUUGUGUCGUUAUCGAAAUAGUGGUAUGUAUCUGAAAAUUGAAAGUCUACGACGUCAUCUCAUUGUUUAUCAUCAAUUGCAUGUACCGUUGAAAAUUUUUAACGACGAAAUUUGGCAAAGAGAAUUUAAAGAAACAUUUUACAAUAAGGAUAUUGUUCCAGAAAAUUGGAAACAAUAUAUGGGCAAGUUUUUUUUCUUUGUUAAAAAUUCUUUUUCUCUUUUAUACUGAUGAAAAAUUUUCACAGGUGAAAUGAUGCAACGUGUCGUUGAUGAAAUACAACAACGUGAAGAAAUUUUACGUCGAAAAAAUGAAGUGACAAAUACAAUGUACUCUUGUCAUUUUUGUGAUUACAAUGAUACAUUUAAAUCUGUUCAUUUACUUGUUCAUCUUGAACGAAAACAUGGUUUGACAAUAAAUCCAAAGAUUUUCUACACUCAACAAUGGUUUGACAUGUAUCAUAAACGUUUCAACAAUCAUCAAGCUGCAAAUAUGUCCUCUGCUGAAAUUGAACGUGAAGUUUGGAUUAUUACACAAUCGAUUGCAAAUAUAAAUAAUAAUGAAGACAACAAUUUUUACAAUAAAGGAAGUGGUGCGUUAAAAAUAAAAAAAUUAAUGCAAAAAACAAUGGAGAGUGAAAUUUUAAAUGAAGCAUCAAAAAAAUCACAAUUUUUUAAUGAAGAAGUAAAUUAUGAAAUUGAAGAAGAAAAUUAUCAAACAAAACAACCAAUAAGAAAUCGAAAUGAUGUUCGAUGUUCUGGAAUAAAACAGAAGAAGGUUUAUCAAAUUUUAGAUAUUUAUAAAACAUUGUGUCCAACUUGUGAGAAGAAGAUAAAAAAUGCAACGUAUAAAAAUCAUUUUAAAAUCUGUAGAGGCGUGGCUUGUGAAAAAUGCUCUACUAAAUUUAUCAGUAAUCAUGUAAUGAAACGUCAUUAUAAAUCGUGUAAAAAAAAUAAAAAUUAGCCUUUACUGGAAUUUAG